ensembl:lncRNA
CUAUGCCUCCGCGGCCGGCUCGGGCGCCCGGCUAGUGUAGAAGCGUCCGCCCCGCCGCCGAAACCUGCACUGGGUGCCGAGCAUGCCCAGUGCCGCCGCGAGAGCGCGGCGCUUUGCCGCGCGCGCUCCACUUCUGGUUUUCGCGGCAGCAGCGGCAGCGGCAGCCGCAGGAGAGAGGGGAGGAGGCCGCGGGCUGGGAGAGGGCCGCGCAUCCUUGGGAACGCACGCCCUGGGCGCGAGCCGGGGGGAUGCAGGGGACCCGGAGAAGGGCUAGAACCCCGGUUCUGCAGGUGCCAGAUACUGGCAUUGAUUCUGAUGGGGCAGAUGCCGGCCUGCAGACAAAGGGGAAGGGGUGCGGGGGUCUCGUGUGCCUAGGGGCCGGGGAGGAGCGGGCUGGACGCGCCUGCUGGAGGUGGCCCUGGUCUCCGGGCAGGUCGUGGGGUUCUAGAGCCAGAAGCCAUGGCAUGGGUCAGAGAGGGGGUCCCGGCACCUGCCCGGUCCCAUCGCCUCCAGUGUUCUGGGGCCACGUGUUGUCGCGGGUCCUGAGACGUCCUUAAACAAAGUGACUCCGGUUGUGAGUCUAGAAUUCUGUGAACUUCCAGCCCAAAGGACCCUUGACCAGUGUGGAGCUUGAAGCGCAGGUGGCAGCGAUGAGUUCGCCUUUUCCUCUUCCCCCCUCUCCUCCUUGCCACCUUUUCCUGUUUUCCAGUCUUCUACACCUCUGCUGCCUCCUCCUCCUCCUCCUCCCCAUUUUCCACGCUACAGUGGAAUUACUGACCUGCUGCUUCCCCUGCCCCCACUGUCUCCCUGCACACCCCGCGUUGCUUUCUUCGUUUUCAGAUUGAUUUUCCAUAGGGCCUCAUGGUUUGACAGCUCAUUGAGUCCAUGGAGACUUCCAUGUGCGAUUCUUGCUGUGAAAUUCUUGUUGGGAAACCAGACCCACACCAUGUGCCAAGAAGCCUGUGUCCCUCGAUGCACUCCUGAGACAUGGCAAGGCCCAGCACAGGGAUUUUGUGUUUUAUGCCAGGCCAUAGGCAGCAGAGUGAGGAUCUAGGAUCUGAAGUCCUCAAGCUGAGCCUGGAGAAGCUACCCAUGGUAACAGCUGAGAUUCUUGGAAGUACAAUAAAGUCAGAGAUAUGCUGGAUAGAGGACCUGGAUCAGUCAAAUGAAGGACCCUGCAGGAGGAAGAGGGGAGAUGUAGAUGGGAGCCCCACCUCUGCAAAGGUAAAAGGCUCUCCUGUUUGUGCCCCUGACAGAUUCCUUGUGGCAGCAAGGGAGUCUGAAAAGUAUCACUUUAUAGCUGGGGACAUGAGACUUAGAAAACCGAGGUCCUGAAAGAAAGGACGAGGAGAUGGUAGAUACUGGGAGGGCAACUCACACUGCCUAUUAGGUUUGAACUUGAUCAGAAGAAUGAACUAAGAAAGUAGGGCACACGUUAAAUGAGAUCAGAUACAAGUCCUAAAACCAAACAACACAGUCCUGUGGUAUUUGGGAAUGGUUUUAUUUGGGGGAAUAUUCUGAAUCUGAGACUCUAAGGCUGAAAAAAUAAUGAGCAUUGUUUUGUAGAUUGUUACUGUACACACAUAAUGAUUUUGAGGACUGACUUUUUGGAUAGCCUUUAAUUACUAUUAUUUUCUUCUUACAAACUAUUCAAUUCUGAAGGACUAGAGGUGGGGUCCAAAUUUUCUUAGUGAAACUUUCUUGUGUAGAGCCACAGUAUACAAAUAGGGCUUCAAAAAGUUCAUGGAAAAGGCAUCAUAUGAAAAUACAAGGUAUGGUCUGCAAAUUAUUUUGAGCACCAAAAUAAACUUUUCUUCUGGGGCCA